rnacentral:rRNA from 1 species
UACGUAGGGUGCAAGCGUUGUCCGGAAUUAUUGGGCGUAAAGAGCUCGUAGGCGGUCUGUCGCGUCUGCUGUGAAAACUCAGGGCUUAACCCUGAGCUUGCAGUGGGUACGGGCAGACUAGAGUGCGGUAGGGGAGACUGGAAUUCCUGGUGUAGCGGUGAAAUGCGCAGAUAUCAGGAGGAACACCGGUGGCGAAGGCGGGGUCUCUGGGCCGUAACUGACGCUGGAGGAGCGAAA